CGGGACGGGUGAGUAUCGCGUAGGGAUUUGUCGUUGGGUGGGGGGAUAACCUUGGGAAACUGGGGCUAAUACCGCAUGACGCCUGUGGGCCAAAGGCUGCAAGGCCGCCUGAUGAGGGAGCCUGGCGUCCGAUUAGCUAGUUGGUGGGGUAAAGGCUUACCAAGGCUGCGAUCGGUAGCUGGUCUGAGAGGAUGAUCAGCCACACUGGGACUGAGACACGGCCCAG
rnacentral:rRNA from 1 species